AAACAAAUGGAAACACACUGAAAAAAGGGCAAAAGGAAGGCGCUUCACUUUUCAAAUAUGUACUUGGCAUAUACAGCACAGUUUAAUUCAUAACAUAUACAACAGUUUAAUUGUGUUCUUCCUCCUAACAUGUGUGGGUCAGGCUGACUUCUGAAACACUCCUGCUUUAGGAGGAAAAGCUCAGCUGCACUCGGACAGUUUUUCGCUGGGACUCAGAAUAAUGCUGCUUUGGACCACUCUGUACAAGGUAUCUGAUAGUUGAAAACCAGGUGACUGACCCACUUGCUUUGAGCAGUUUCAUGGGCGCUUUCGUAAUUGGUAUUUGGUGUUCCUCUUAUUCAGAGACCUGUGACAACUUUGCUUGGUGCACUGUUCCAAAGGCUCUGCAGUAAAUGUUUCAAAGAGGUAUGUCGAUAUUAAGAGUGGCUGUCCUAAAUGGGAAAAAGAAGAAAUUCCUCUCACAAAACAAUUCAACUGCACCACACUCUACAGCCUCCAAAAUGACCAGCUGAAUCAACAUCUCGCUGUUUUAGCACUGUAACACUGUAUAUGAUAACCUUCAUGAAGGCUGAUGACGAAGCCUUCCAAGGAUCCAUUGAGGACACCAUGGUAGGAAUAAUACAUUGUCAGACCAGGAGAGGCCACCAGUAAACCAGAGGACAUCGGGGUUGUCCUUGAAGGCCAGAUGGUACUGCAGGAUCUGGACAAUGUUGCUUUUGGUGUUGCAGUGUUGUUGGGCUUAAUGUAUGCUUUGAACCUCAGCUGCCCCACUGAACUGAAGUAUACCUUUGAAGUGCUCCAGAAAGUUGUGAUGGAGCUCGACAGUGACACUCUCUAAGAAAGCCCAAGUUCUUAAAAACAAACUGUAUCAGUGAGCUGUUGCCAGAUAUGACGUGGGUGAGACAACAGUUCACCGUGUUUGCUCCUUGGGAUACAGAACAUUGUUGCUCUUUGGUUGCAUUGAUGAUGCUUUGUACACUGACAGAACUCACUUGCACUGCCUUUAUAUUUGCUACAUCAUAUUUAGUUUAAAAAUGGGGAGCCUUGCGUGGAGCAUUGCUUAGCUUUAACACUUCUGGACCCCAGUCUACCAUGUUAGUCCGUUGGAAUAUGGACUGUUUAUUGCACUAGUACUGGACUGAAAUGUUGCAACUCACAUAUUGCCACAUUACUUUCAUGUAUGUUUUUGGUAAUAUUUGUUUAUUACGUGUGCUUACAAAUUGGAUGUCAGAAGUGUUUGUGUUACUCUGACUGUUGUUUUUUUGCUCCACGCUCUUUAUAACAAUUGUUGAUAUUGUAAAGGGAAAGGCUACUUUGUUGUGAUUAUUGCCAUUUGUUUUUGUCCGCACAUACCCCAUUGUGAUGCACUGUUACCUCCGCCAAGGAGGUUCUGUUUUUGCCGGCGUUGGUUUGUCUGUCUGUUUGCAAGAUAACUCAAAAAGUUAUGGACGGAUUUGGAUGAAAA